AGUGAACGCUGGCGGUAGGCCUAACACAUGCAAGUCGAACGGCAGCACAGUGAGAGCUUGCUCUUACGGGUGGCGAGUGGCGGACGGGUGAGGAAUACAUCGGAAUCUACUUUUUCGUGGGGGAUAACGUAGGGAAACUUACGCUAAUACCGCAUACGACCUACGGGUGAAAGCAGUGGAUCUUCGGACCUUGCGCGAUUGAAUGAGCCGAUGUCGGAUUAGCUAGUUGGCGGGGUAAAGGCCCACCAAGGCGACGAUCCGUAGCUGGUCUGAGAGGAUGAUCAGCCACACUGGAACUGAGACACGGUCCAGACUCCUACGGGAGGCAGCAGUGGGGAAUAUUGGACAAUGGGCGCAAGCCUGAUCCAGCCAUACCGCGUGGGUGAAGAAGGCCUUCGGGUUGUAAAGCCCUUUUGUUGGGAAAGAAAAGCAGCAGGUUAAUACCCCGCUGUUCUGACGGUACCCAAAGAAUAAGCACCGGCUAACUUCGUG
rnacentral:rRNA from 1 species